rnacentral:lncRNA from 1 species
AAAGACCCUGAUGUUGGGAAAGAUGGAGGGCACAAGGAGAAGGGGACGACAGAGGAUGAGAUGGUUGGACAGUGUUCUCAAAGCUACUAACAUGACUUUGACCAAACUGCAGGAGGCAGUGGAAGACAGGAGUGCCUGGUGUGCUCUGGCCCAUGGGGUCAUGAAGAGUCGGACACGACUAAACAACAACAACAACAACAAAAUACCUGGGGGCAGAAUAGUAAAGGCAGGACUCACUAGGAUCCAAGGAUUCCAUGAGGAGUCAGUCCAACAGGCCAAGGCAGGAAACCAGGCUAGGACAGGCACAGGGUAACAGGCAGGUUCCAGCAAGCAGCAAUGUUGCUCCCACAACCUGGGGUGGUGUCCGGCAGCCUUUUAUCUCUGGCGGGGUAACGGCCGGUCCUGAUCCCCCGGUGACUCACCUCCCUGUCCCUGUCUCGCCCGAAGGCGAGCACUCCCCCUGAGAGUACUUGGGUCUCUCCUUCUCUACAGCUCGGGAGAUGUCGGUGAGUUACUAGACCCAGAGGCCGCCUCAGCCUCUCCUGAACCAACUGGUAGCGGAGCAACUGCAUGUGAUUGCCCAGCACAGGUCAAUGAGGUAAUCCCCACAUCUGGAGCCAGGGCAGGCUCAGGCUCCUGACUUGGCCCAGCUGGUGUUUGUUGCAGGGGAACCUGUGCAGACUGGCGCUCUUCAGAAUCAGGCCCCAGACUCAGUUCAGAUGCCGCCUGAGGCAGAGGAUCUGGUGUGGACCAAGACUCUUCCGAGCCCGAGCCCGAGUCCCAGGCCAUCACUGCACCAAUGUAGCAACCUUUUGUGUUGAAUCAAGAGCACAAGUCCAUCUUGCUGUGAUGUGAUGUUUGUCAAGUGAUGGAAUUCAAAUAAAAAAGAUUAGUACCAAAUAUUCAGAACAUAAUUGUGUCAUACAUGCCACUAUGUAUUUGCUUUUUUGGUUCAGUUCAUUCUCAACUCCCUUACCCAUGUCUUGUUUCUCUUCAUCCCCUGACAUUCCCACUGACUUCCGUCACCUUCCAUUGCCUCAUUCCUGCAUCCUGGGGCCUCUGUGAUGUGGGGCUAUUCCCUCACCCCACUUGUAUUACAUCUCCUCAUAAUAUGUUAUAUAACAGCAAAGAUAUGAGCUGAGUUUCCAGCUCCUUGCAAAAUAGCAGAGAGCAGCGUUAAAUCAUAAUUUAAAAAAAAAAACAACAGAUUCAGAGAAAACUCUUACAACGGAAGUCUUUCAUCUUCAGUGCCACAGUUGAAAGCAUGUAUUACAGGAAUUCUUAGAAUUAUCUCUCCCAGAAGUAAGAGCUUAGGGAGUUUUAUUAGAAAAUGUAUAUUUUCUAAUUCUUUUGGAAGCAAUUAUGCAGCCUCACUAUGCGCAUUCAUCUCCAAGCAAGAGAAUUUAAAUUAUUUUGACUUCAUCAGCAGAGUUCCAUAACUCUUGCAUAGCAGGAGUCUAUUAAGGAAAAGCUUGCAAGACAGUUUAUAUGGAAUGAAUUUGCUGAGAGAGCCACUCCUGGGUAGUGAGCUUGCUCCUCAAUCCUGAUUUAUCUUUUUGUCUUGAUUUGCUCUUCAAUCCCAGCUUCUGGCUUGUCACAAACAACUGUUGCCCUCACAUAUUGGUAGAAGGGCCAGCCUAAGACCCAGCAGAUUCUGUGCUGCUUCAGCUCCUGCCACCUUCACUCUCCACCUCCAAAACAGCCAGUUGCAUGGGUUACCACCAGCAGUAACUUCUAUCUGGUUUGGCAGGUGUAUUGGGGCUCUCUGUGGGGGUUGUUAAGUAUAGUACAGUAGAACAUUGGUUCUCAAACUUAAUCCAUUCCAUAAAUCUGUUCGACUCCCGAAACCAUUCAAAAACUAAGGUGCUGCUUCUGAUUGGCUGCAAGAGCUUCCUGCGCUGAAGUGGAAGUUGCGUCAGACAUUCAGCUUCCAAAAAAGUUCGAAAACUGGAACACUUAUUUCUGGGUUUUCGGCCUCCAGGAGCUGAUUUGUUCGUCAGCUAAGCCAUUCGAGAACCAAGGUACCACUGUAAUUUAAUUGGCUGAGAUUAUAAAUACGUUUAUGCAUGACUAUGUGUUUAAAUUUGAUUGGUUGGUAACUGAAUUCUAGAGAGUUCUCUAGUAGUCACAUGGGAGGUAUCUAGUGAAUGGGAGACUCCAUUUAAUGUCAGGCAAGAUGACUGUGUUUUAGAAUCCACUGUGAAUACUGCUAAGUUGAAUAGAAUGUUUGAGUGCUUCUUCUUUGUUUGAAAGACAGAAAAGCAGAAGGAAAAGGUAAAAGUGGAAAUCUCUCUUAGAAGUUGCAAGGCAUGGCCUGAGAUACAGAAGGCUGAGUACUGAGCUCUGGAAAGGGAGGAAAAUACAGUUUGUUUGGAAGUUAGAAGAAGCCCAUGCUUGGAGAAGCACGUGACUGUAAAUAUUCUGUUUUAAUUCAUUUAUAACUAAGUUUCUGCAAGUAAAGUUUUUGAAUGUUAAAGUAUUGACAUUGGUUUAAUUUCCAGUGAAGGGUGUCAGUCACAUAUACGAUUUGAGCUUCUUAGAUGAAAUUUCACUAACUUCAACAGGGGUUCCCGUCUCCCAGAGUUUGGCAAGUCUGGGUGUGAAACAUCUCUACUGCAUCCAAACCCCCUCCAGCAUUGCAGACCAGAAGUUUGGCUUGCUUUGUUCACAGGCAUUCUGGAUUAUUUAUCCCUUGAAUGUUAAAGUGAGCCACAAGUGCAAUCCAUAGCGGCAGUCUCCGUUUUCUCUCCUUUGUUUGCCUGCCUGCUGCUCAACGCAAUAAGCUAAUGCAGACACUGUGCCGCGCAGGUAAAUACUUGAUCCCAAGCAGAAAUCAAAGGAUAACACUGAGUGUUCUGAAAUUCAAUCAUACCCUCUAAUGGAGGACCCAAGAGUCUAGCAUUUCACAAGAGGGAUCAGAGUCUGAACUCCACAAAGCCGCCAUUUGAUAUAUGCAGCAAGCGACAGUCACACUGUUGUUUCGCCAGCCACUUAUGAAUAGGCAAACAAAAAUGAACACACGAGGAUAUCAAAAACCACGGAAUAAAAGAAAGGCCAAGAGUGUAAGAUGGAUUCUCUGUAGCUGCGGCAGAAUGCUUCCCUGCAGGGUGAAUUUUAUCUCAUGUUUUGACUGCGUAAGUAGAGUUCUUGGUAGUACAUUUCUAUUGAAGCUUCUGGAACAUGUGCUGAACCACUGAAAUAUACUCGGAGUCAAGAGUGUUUUUCAUGCUCUUUAUUCAGCUCAUAGUGGUGAGGAGGAAUGGAAGUUCCCCCAGAAUGUCUGCUUUAUAUACAUUAUUUACACAAUGGGCCCCACGUGAUCGGCUAAUUCCAGGAUUCUCCUGUAGGCCAAUCAGGUUGCAGAUUCACUUCCACCUGGAGCUGGAUUGGGUGGCUCCUGUGGACCAAUCAAACUGCUGCAUUCUGGGUUCUAUUUUUCUAGGACCAAUCAGACUGCUGCAUUCUGAAUCCUAUUGUUCUAGGACUAAUCAGACUGCUGCAUUCUGAAUUCUAUUGUUCUAGGACUAAUCAGACUGCUGCAUUCUGAAUCCUAUUGUUCUAGGACCAAUCAGACUGCUUCAUUCUGAAUCCUAUUGUUCUAGUACCAAUCAGACUGCUGCAUUUUGGAUCCUGUUCAACUCAGUACGUAACAACCACCCUGCUGGAUUAGUCCAAAGCUCCAUCUAGUCCUUUGUCCUUUCCCACACAGUGGUCAACCAGACACCUAGCGGAAGAUCACAAGGAGGCAUGAAGGCAACAGUUGCCUGACACUGUUGCCAGUUGUCUUAACUCUCCCUGCCAGAUGAGGGUCUGGAACUCGUGACUCUGGUUUUGCUUUGAAUUUCAGAUUAGAAUGGUACGAAAAGUAAAUCACAGGUUGCAAGGAUCAGCAGCUGUAUGAGAGGCAUGAGCUAAGAUGUUGAAGCAACAAGUGACACCCCCUCUGCCCCCUCCCAGGGAUGGACUUUGGUCUAUAAAAUUUCAGAGGCGCCCAGUGUAGAAAUGUAAAAUUUUGAAGCCGUGAGGGGAAAAAGUCCCCCCCCCCGUUUCCCCUAGGAAAAAAUGGAAAUUUUGGGAAAAUUGAAAAAAAGUUCAGUGUGGAGUGGUUUUACAAAUUGCAUGAAACACAGUGUAGAUAAAUGUAUUAUGCUUGCAAUAAAACAUGUAACCACCCCCUUUCCCUCAAAAGCAGCAAAAAAAGCAAGAAACCAUCAACAUAAAAAAUAAUCAAUUUGCCCCUUAGCACCAACAGCAAAUAAAGUUAAGGUCCACUUCAAUAUUUAAGCUCCAAAGAAGGUCUACCCUUUGAGUAGUGCUUUUUUAAAAACACAAAAAACACACAAAAAAAGAAGACACAACAUAUACAUGCAGUUUAUUCUAUCUCAUUUUCUGAACUACUGCUAUCAUUUUCCAUUUCUUCUUGUUCUUGCUCUUUGUCAUUUUUCUCAUGGACUUCUAAAAAACGGCUUUGGGGGGAAAAGAGGGGGAACCUGUUUCCCCUCCCCAUUUUUCUGUUCUCCCCGCCCCAGCCUUUCCAAAUCUACAUGACGAUAGCCGGGGCAAACCAUAAGGCAUUUUUUUUUUGUAUGCCAGGCCCAGAAGUACGGUGAUCAACAUCCAGUUACUGAAUAGUAUGUAAUAGUAAGGCUCAAACUCUGUUUGAAAGGAAAAGAAGUGUGUGUGGUUUUUUUAAUUGAAUUUGUUAUUAUAUAUUAUAAACCACAUGAUGGUAAGAGAGCUUUCUGAACAGUUUACAAAAAUAUACAAAAGAAUAUUAAAAUGAUUGAUAAAACAAAGUCAAAAGCAGGUAUUUAAAGAGUAUUCAAUAGAUGAUUAAAGUCAGCAGUGGUUGAAAGGAAGUCCUGGCUUCAGCGAAAGGAACCCGAAGCCUUUGGAGCACAGCGCGAGGUCCAGCUGCGCUCCAAAGGCUUCAGGUGGCUAUCCCUGCGACCCCUCUCGCUCUCCAGGCUUCAGUGAAAGCAACGUGUAGCCUCCGGAGCGCUCCCUCUGUGCUUUGGAGGCUUCGCGUUGCUUUCGCUGAAGCCAAGGAGCCUGCAUUCGCUCCAUAGGACGCACAAACAUUUCCCCUUCAUUUUUGGAGAGGAAAGUGUCCUAUAGAGCGAAAAAUACGGUAUUUCAUAGAACUGUAGAGUUGGAAGGGACAACAGGAGCCAGUCCAACUCUCUGCAAUGCAGGAAUCUUUUGCCCAAUGUUGGGCUCAAACACACGACCCUGGGAUUUAGUCUUAUGCUUGUCUGACUGAGCUAUCCCAGCUAUUUGAAGAUGGCUAUAAUAUCUCCUCCCAGUCUCCUUUUUACCAGGCUAAACAUACCCAACUCCCUCAUCCGCUCCUCAUAAGUUUGCUUUCCAGACCCUUGAUCAUCUUGGUUGCCCUCCUCUGCACACAUUCCAGCUUGUCAACAUCCUUCUUAACUUAAAAAUGUUUUUUUAAUUAUUAUUUUUAAAAAACAGAAGCAUUUUUACUUGGCAUUAUAGGUCAGGACAUUAAUAGGCAAGAUGUUAAAUUGUUUUUAUAUGCAACAACUGCGGCAAGAGUAUUGUUACCCAGAAAUGGUAACAAGAAGAAAUUCCGACGAAAGAAGAAUGGCAGACGAAAUUAAUGGACUAUGCAGAAUUGGACAAAAUGACAGGAAGGAUUCAAAACCUGCGGGACCAGAGAUUUACAGAAGAUUGGAAGAGCAACUGUAAUCAACAAAUUACUCUAGUAGGACUACAAGAAGUUUUGUAAGGAGAAAUAUACAAAGUUUUACAAAGUAGAAAUAGAGAUAUUGGUUAUGAGUUUGAAAUGUAAUAGGGAAGAUAAGAAAUGCAUACUGAGAGAUUAGAUUGGGAAAUUUUCAGACAGGAUUGAUGGAUGUCAAAAAUUUGAAUAAGAUGUAAAAGUAUGUUUAAUUACUGCUGAAAAUGAUAUGUUAAAAAAACUAAUAAAAAUUAUAUAUAUAUAUAUAUUUAAAAAUCCUUCUUAACUUGUGGCAUCCAGAACUGGACACAGUACUCCAGGGUGGCCUGAUCAAGGCAGAACAGAGCAUUGACUUCCCUUGAUCAGGUAUGGUAGUUUAAUCUGGUUUGAGUAUGUCUUACUUCUAAGCUAUAUAAAGAAGUCAAUGAACCUUUCAACUCAAUUAUGAUGAGUUCAGUGAUAAGGAAAAAGAAUUUGGAAGUAAAAUGGUUGUGUUAGUUCAGAGGUGAGGCACCUGUGGCCUCCAGCUGCUGAUCUGUAAUUUCCUUCAUCCCUAACCGUUGGCUAGAAUGGCUGUGGUUAAUGCUGGUAUAAUUACUACAUUGCUACAAGCAUUUAUCUUGUAGUGCCUUUUCCUUCAAAGCCCUCAAAAAUAGUACUCAUAAAAACGCAAGAACCUGCCGAAACAGGCCAAUCACCCAUCGUGAAUUCUGACCAACACACUUCCCCAGCCAGCUGCCCCUAACCUUUUAGAAACUAAGAUUGUAAUGUAUCAUGGCAUGGAGUGCUGCCAUUCGAUAUACUGUGUACAUUUCUUGCUCAAUAUAGACACAUAACACUCCAGGGUAAAAUCUAAUCGGUGUCCUUGUAUACCUCAGCUAAAAGAAUGGGAGGGAAUGCAUUUUUCUCACUUUCCUUUCCCCCUGCAGCCCACUUACUCCUGUUUUGGAGGACAUCUCAACCCUUUGGACUCAACAGCCUUUUGGGAGAGGGGAGAAGAAACUACAAGCUGUCAGAGAAGGGGAAGAUGGCAAUUAUUAUUAUUGCCUACCUUCUUCCAUUAGUGAAGACCUUUGCCGGCUCUAAAGCCCUUCUGUGAGCACAAGCGCACCAACAGGACUCUACUCAUGGCUUUUACCACCACUUCAUAC